GUGUCAGCCGCCGCGGUAAGACAGAGGGUGCAAACGUUGCUCGGAAUCACUGGGCGUAAAGGGCGUGUAGGCGGGACGGUAAGUCGGGCGUGAAAUCCCUAGGCUCAACCUAGGAACUGCACUCGAAACUACCAUUCUUGAGUGUCGGAGAGGAAAGCGGAAUUCCUGGUGUAGAGGUGAAAUUCGUAGAUAUCAGGAGGAACACCAGUGGCGAAGGCGGCUUUCUGGACGAUAACUGACGCUGAGACGCGAAAGCGUGGGGAGCAAACAGGAUUAGAUACCCGCGUAGUCC
rnacentral:rRNA from 1 species